rnacentral:rRNA from 1 species
UACGUAGGCAGCAAGCGUUGUUCGGAGUUACUGGGCGUAAAGGGUGCGUAGGCGGCUUCUUAAGUCUGGUGUGAAAUCUCCCGGCUCAACUGGGAGGGUGCGCCGGAUACUGAGGGGCUAGAGUGUGGGAGAGGAAAGUGGAAUUCCUGGUGUAGCGGUGAAAUGCGUAGAUAUCAGGAGGAACACCUGUGGCGAAAGCGGCGCACUGGACCACAACUGACGCUGAGGCGCGAAAGCUAGGGGAGCAAACAGG